UUAAUUUUAUUACAGAGAAUUAAUACAAUUAAUUUUAUUUUAUCAACAAUGAUGAACAAUGACUGACGUCAAACACUAACAUCAUAAUUGUAAUACAUCAAUUUUUGCUAAAUAAGAAAAAAACAUUAGUUUAUAUAUGACAUAAUCAAAUAGUUUUUACUUAUUUUUGUGUAAGCAACGAUAAUCAAAAAGCUUAUUCAGCUAUAUUUCAUCUAUGUAACAUAACCUAUAAUAAAAUUGAAUAUAACUACUAAAAACAAUUUAUGAAUAAAAGAAAAAUUUUUCAUUUUUUUUGUUUAUACAAUAUUAUAAAAAAAUAAAUGUGCAAGAUUGUAUCUUUUAAACAACAUUACCAAAUCGAGACAUUUAAGGGAGGGAUUUGAGAGAUUUAAGAAGAAAAUAGUGGAAGAGAAGGAAA